AAGUAUUUCCAUUGAACAUUCAGGAUUUUUGACAAAACAGAUAUCAUCAAGAAGGCAAUAGCUAGAGAAAGAGAGGUGCCUUUAAAAAAAAUGCAAAUGCAGCCUUACAGUGAGGAUGAGGAUUGAGUUUUUUUCUGGGUGAAGGGGUGUGAGAGAGUGUGAGUGUAUGUGUGUUGUGUGUAUGCUUGCCAGUCCACAAAGGUCCUGAUUUGUGACCAUCAGUGUCUUUUUAAUGUAUCUGUUCAACUUCUAGGACUUCAGGGGACAUUUCAUGCGCUGUCUUCGUGCUCUUCUGAGCACCAUAAAUACUUUCCAAGAAUUUUGAAUGUGAAUUCCUAGAAAUUUCAAUAGAGAAGAAAAUAACUAUUCUUUCAUUAUAAUUCAAGUUCAGGUAAAAGGAAAAGUUACUGAUUUACCAAAAUUAUGGGAUCUCAUUAAUGUUGGCUAAGUAAAUGUAAUUUUUAAAGGCUCACUUUUUUAGUGCUUCAUAUAUUUCCCCUUUACACAAGAGCAUGUCAUGAAAUUCUUAUGUGAAGGUUAAACUAGUAAAAGUUAUUUUUAGAUUAAACACCUGAACUAGUUAAAAUUCCACCUAAGAAUAGUAUUUAAAUGGCAUCUUUCAUAUCUACCUCUUUGUCAUUGCUGCCAUUUUGACUCAAGCAAAUCUUUAUGACAUCUAAAAUAAUGGUUGGAUGCAAUUUAAAAAUCUGUGUUGGUGCUUUUCUCAGGCUUUGUCAUUUAAGUUGUAUUGAACAAAGAUGUCACAAAUCAGAUUGAAAGGCUUAGAAUUACUUUGAUUUUCUUUUGAAAAAACUGCUUAAAAUUUAUCAAUGUUGAUAGUGGAGAUAGUUAGCUUCUGGUUAGUAUAUAUGUCUGUGUGAUAUUUUCAACCAUGAGCCAAACAGUUAUUGAAUUUACAUGGGAAGAGAGCUCUAAGUAUAAUUUUCUUCAUCUUAUUCUUUGAAAGCUAUUUCAAGGCUAUAAAGUACAUCAUGAUUGAUUUCUUUUACUCAGAAGUUGCCUCUGUGUUACUGUGUUACUUGUUUAGUUAUUUAUGUAAUUGCAGUAUUUUGUUUAACACUGGGAUUCAGGUUGUACAAAAGCAGUAGCUGACAGAAAUUAUAUGUAUAUUUUUCUGAAACGUAUCAAUUCCUUAGUAAGUUCACUUUAGACGAUGGUCCAGAAAACAAACAUGUUUGUAUUUAAAAGCAAGGGACAGGUCAGGUCCUUGGUAAAUGAUUUGAAUUGUUUUACUUUUGCCACUGGAAGCUUUUUAAUUGGCUAUAUCCAUCAUCCACUUGGAUCUCCAUGUUAUUUAUUGGAAGGGAUGCCAGGCUCACAAAGUAUUAAACAGACUGCAUCAUUUUUUUAAAUCCCCCCAAAAGCAAAUAUAAAGCCAAACAGGGAUUCCCUAAAUCUCAUUUAUUUAUUCUAGCAGUAUUCCUAAAGUGGUGCUUAAGGGUCAGAAUUUUUUGGAUCUUUGCUAGUCAAGCUUUAGAUUUGAUUUAACUGGGACCACAUGCCUGUCAUCCCUCUGAUGUAAAUUAGAAAGUUCAUUUUGAUUUAGAUUAACUCUAAUGUCUGCCUGGGUUUUUAACAGGCUGUGAACCAGUGAGUGCCUUGUUAACGUAGAAUGAUUUUUCCCUGGUUGUGUGUUAGCUCCUCUUUGAAAAUGUCUCAGAGAAUGGUAUUUCAAUUGAUUUGUAGAGAGCUGCUAAAUUUGGUAUUAUCGGCAAUCAGAAAGUCUUCAGUCUACCACAUACCACCCUCCCUACUUUCUUCUCAUUGUUUGGCUGAAGUUUGCCUCUUGUGAGAGACAAAUGCCACCCCCUUUUCACAUAGCUUUUUUCCAGUCCAAAGUAAAAGGUAUUCCCUUACACCCAUCCCAACGAUAUGAUCUAAUACUGUUUUUAGGAGGAACCACUUGUUUGUAAUCCUAUAAUCUACUGGUUAUGUUAUGUCUUCUCAACUUCAGUUUACUAGAACUGGCCUCAGGGCAUCAUCAGUUCAGAUUCCUAAAUAACUCCUUUUCUCCACACCCCUCCACCCCUCCAGCUGGUGAGCCCUGGGCCAGAUUGUUCGAUCUUCAGGUAUUUUAAAAUUUAGGUAUAAUAUCAACUAAUGUAAAUUAAUCCAGAUGCUAAUUUUUGUGGUGCAAGAAGUUUCUUUUGUAAAUUCAGGGUAUGGAUAAGCUAAUUAAGAUAUCCUUUUUUGGUGGCUCUAAGUGUAUUAUUUGUUUUUAAAUAAAGUGUACAAAUAUAGAUAACAUGCUAUAGGUGUCUCAUGAAUUGAAAUAUUUGUCAGAUUUGGAAUCUAGUGAAUUUGCAGUUAAGAUACUUGAAUAUAACCUGAUUUUAUUUUUUGUGUGGGAGGUAAUAGAGGGGUGCAUAGAAAUAAAAGUGUAUUAGACAAAGUAGAUGUGAAUCCAAAGUAAUGAACCAACCUUAAUUAUCAAUUGUAGGAAAGUGGAGAAGUUUAUUAUGAUAGAGGGUUUGGAUCUUUGGAAAGCCAGUAAAACUAAAAUAUCCCAUAUGAUUGGAUCAUGAUACUUUCAGGAACACAUAUGUAUCUUUUCUUAAGUGUUUAGUUAUAUAAUUAAAAAAAUUAUACACAUCUAUAGAUAAAUUUAAUGUGUUUUUAUUUUUUCUUUGGCCACUUUAACAAACAAGCAUAAGCCUUUUACCCCUUGCUCCUUGAAAUCAACAUUAUUUUUUAAGGGCUUCCUCUGCCCAGAAUUUACAAUCUCUUUUGUUCUAAUCUGGAGUCACAAUACUCUAUGGAAUCUGAAAGGCACCUCUUUUGGUGUCCUUGAAACUAUCCACUGUUAUAGGAUGCCACUGCAGUAAUGCAUGUUCUAUUCUUUGGUGUAUACACAUUUUUCAGUAGUGUCAAAAAUGUCCCUUUGUCCCUUGUAAUGAGAACUGAAAUAUGAUUUGCUGGGGUUAUUUUAGAGUAAUCUAGCUCAGAAGGUCAAGAGGACUCCAAAACGUUUUCAUGCAUUGAUGGUCCCUCUGGGGUCAGCCCAGGUUCAGAAUGGUAUUCCAGCCUGUUUGGGGUUUUCCUAAGAGUACCACUGAGGCUUCAAGGGGUCCUAGGUUGUCUUGGCACUUAGAGUAUUUCCCAGGAGCACGUAGAAGCCUGAUAGCACCUUUUAACCCAAACACUGUACCAUAACCAUCCCUCCACUUGUUGCUUCUAAAUUACACCUGUCACUUACAAUGAUGGGGACAUGUUCUGUGGAGAAACACUGACAUGCACUUUUGAAAAUUGAAUUCCAUUAUUUUGUGAAACACAAAUUUUAAUUUAGUGUAUUUUGUAUACUUUCAAAAUCAAGCAGAAUCCUAAAUCUGCCUAACAAAAUUAUUCACCUUGAGCUUCACUUAGAUCUUACAAAACCCUAAGCCCUUUCUUAUUCCUGGUUGUGAUGGUGGUUUCAGUCAGACUUGAAGAAGGAUCUGACUGUUUGGGAGAAUAAAAUCUUUAAUAUCAUGCUAAUAGGAAGGGUCUAUUUCAUAGAAAAUUCUCUUGUCCUUGGUUACUUAGCCAUUCACCUUGCAUGAAGGCUGGUCCAGAUGCUAACUCCACGUUGACUUUUCCUGUGUGUCUCUUUAAAGAGAUAAUUAAUCCAGUGAUGUGAAGGAGAACCCACAGUAAAACAUCUGUUAAAUAGCACUUGGAGUACUAGAGUUAGUAUUAUUAAUUCACGUGCCAAAGUUUUUCAUGCCCUCAUAAGAUCCAGGGUAUGUAUCAGGUUCUCUGUCUAUAUAUAACCUCAAACCAAAGAUAUUUUUGAAUUACCUCAUAUAAUAGCAUCAUCAAAUUAAGGGUAAUGGUAGGGAAACCCAUCAUUCAAAUGAGAAUUCCCAAACCAAAAAACUGUAAUAAAAAAAACCUGCAUGCAUGAAAAGCAAAAUUUUAUGUUAAGCAUGCGUUGUAAAAAUCAGCAGCUUGUGGUUUAUAUAUGUUGAAAUAUUAAUGUAUACUGACAUUCAACUACUCCUUAUGGAAAUGGGACAAAUAAUUUUUUAUCAAUAAGAUUAAUUUUCUUUAGAGCAAAAGAAAUUCAUCAGAAAGUUUACAUUGGAUAUUGGAUAACUUAGGUGAGGGUGUGGGGAAAAAUGUACCACACUAAAAAGGAAAAAGGAGUUAGCCUUUGAUCUGGAUCCAUCACACAUGGUCUUCCUUUCUCUUUAAAUGGCCUGGAAAGGUGACCUCUGAGAUCCUUUUCCUCUGUAAAAGUAAAUGGUUCCAGUUCUGGCUUGUUUUGUAAUUAUCCCUGUAAUCUAAAAGAUUUUUAAGAAAUAAAACUAUCCUAGAGUCCCCUGAUUAAAAAGUACCAUACAAUACAGCUUUUUAUUAUAUUGUAGCAGGCUGUAUUAAGACAGGGCCAAGUGUGCUGUGACAUCUACAUAUGUUGGAACAAAGACCAGACAUGUAAGAAAUGUGGCCAACUGGUGACCUCAUGAAAAGAUAGAACCUUUUUUUUUUGGCCACACCCGCAACAUACAAAAGUUCCCAGGCCAGGGAUCAAACCCCAGCCAUAGCAGUGACAUCUCUGAAUCCUUAACCGCUAGGCCACCAGUGAAACCAGAGAAUCAUUUUUAUGGGAUGAGUUCUGUUUUGAAUGAUUUCGACUAUGUUUUUAGAAGCAUUUAAGAAAUAUUUACAUCUUUUUCUAUAGAUUUGGAGAUCACAUAUUUCAGAAUAUCCUAUUGAUGGGAUUAUUGACUCAGUGUAUAUUAUAGAAAAAGAAGAACUCCAUGGUCUCAUCUUUUGACAGUCAUUUAUGGAUAACACUCCUGACUCUUGCUCCCCACAAAUACUCACAUGCCAUGGAAGAGUUCUUUCAAAUGUGGUAAAUAUUUCAGUAUAUUGCUAACUGGAAAAGCAGUAUUUUUAUACAUAGCUUGUAGGUAAACCAUGGAGCCUUGUGCUCUUUGAUACAUGUAAAUAUGAAUGGAACAUUAAAAUAGAGUAUGUGUAUUAUGUAAAUAAUGUUAGUAGUAUCCCUUUAAAGCUAUUAAGGGUAGAUUCUGCCAAUUGUCAUUCACAGAUUUUGGAAGUGUGCAUGUUUAGCCAAAAUACCAUUUGACAGUUCAUUUAAGGAGAAACUUUGUUUUUCAAUAAAGUAGUACCUGUUCAAUUUCCUUGUAUAGGUCAGGGUCAAAAGAAAUGAGGCUUUCAGAGUUCCCGUCGUGGCGCAGUGGUUAACGAAUCCAACUAGGAACCAUGAGGUCGCGGGUUCGGUCCCUGCCCUUGCUCAGUGGGUUAAUGAUCCGGCGUUGCCAUGAGCUGUAGUGUAGGUCCCAGACGUGGCUCGGAUCCCACGUUGCUGUGGCUCUGGCGUAGGCCGGUGGCUACAGCUCCGAUUCGACCCCUAGCCUGGGAAUCUCCAUAUGCUGAGGGAGCGGCCCAAGAAAUGGCAAAAAG
rnacentral:lncRNA from 1 species